UACGGAGGGAGCUAGCGUUGUUCGGAAUCACUGGGCGUAAAGGGUGCGUAGGCGGGUCUUUAAGUCAGGGGUGAAAUCCUGGAGCUCAACUCCAGAACUGCCUUUGAUACUGAGGAUCUUGAGUUCGGGAGAGGUGAGUGGAACUGCGAGUGUAGAGGUGAAAUUCGUAGAUAUUCGCAAGAACACCAGUGGCGAAGGCGGCUCACUGGCCCGAUACUGACGCUGAGGCACGAAAGCGUGGGGAGCAAACAGG
rnacentral:rRNA from 1 species